rnacentral:rRNA from 1 species
CCAGACUCCUACGGGAGGCAGCAGUGGGGAAUAUUGCACAAUGGGCGAAAGCCUGAUGCAGCAACGCCGCGUGAAGGAAGAAGGGUUUCGGCUCGUAAACUUCUAUCAACAGGGACGAAAGAAAUGACGGUACCUGAAUAAGAAGCCCCGGCUAACUACGUGCCAGCAGCCGCGGUAAUACGUAGGGGGCAAGCGUUAUCCGGAUUUACUGGGUGUAAAGGGAGCGUAGACGGCUGUGCAAGCCAGAUGUGAAAGCCCGGGGCUCAACCCCGGGACUGCAUUUGGAACUGUGUGGCUGGAGUGUCGGAGAGGCAGGCGGAAUUCCUAGUGUAGCGGUGAAAUGCGUAGAUAUUAGGAGGAACACCAGUGGCGAAGGCGGCCUGCUGGACGAUGACUGACGUUGAGGCUCGAAAGCGUGGGGAGCAAACAGGAUUAGAUACCCGAGUA